rnacentral:lncRNA from 1 species
GAUCAUCAACCUUCAAUCAUUAUCACGUCAGGCCCAAAGUCAACUGUGCUAAUGGCUCUUUGACUAUGAUUGUGUUGAUUUUGAAUUGUUACUAACGUUGUUUAUGAUGCCUUGGUAAUUCUUGAUAAAACCUUUUGCGCCUUUCUAAUUACUCAUAUUUCCACUGAAGCGCAUUUCAGAUUGAUUAAAAGUGUUCUAGAAAAGAAAAAAUAUUGUUUGUAUUGUUUGCCAUGUGAUUUUAAGUGAUCACUGUUUUGACCUUCCUCCCAUUGCUAUUUUAAACCUGG